AAAUAACAUUAACACAAAAUAUUUGAUAUUUACAAACAAUGAUUUCAAAUACAGUAACUUUAACUAAAAUCUUUAGGCAUACCCCACACCAACAUUUGUCUUUUUUCAGGAUGGGGCUGAUUCAGGUGCAGUUCAGGGUAGAUCAAAUAACCGAUUGUUUUUUGAAGUUCAAUCAUAUUACAUAUGGUUAAUAUUCAUACUAUAUAUAAUACAUAAGUAUUAUACAUGAGACGAGUUCUGGGUGGGUAUGGCAUUGCCCUAGCCCAUUUAUAAAACCCAUCCUAUUAGGGUCAGGUAAGGUGGACACUAAUUGGGAUGAGGCAAAAUUAUUGUCCCUAAUAAGGAGGCACUGGGAUAGAGUUUCAGCUAAGAUAUAUGCGACUGGCAACAAAUGUUGCAAGGAACACAAAUAAAAUGAUCAUAUUGUUAGCACAAUCAGCUGGGCACAAAGAAAGGAGGCGGCACUGCAGAAGAAUUGGUGAAGGUGUUGAGGAGGCAUUGCAUGUAUUGAUGAUGAGAACGAAUAAUUGAGAUAGAAAGCAAACGAAUAAUAAAGAUAGAACGCGAACAUUGCCUUUGUUUCAUUCAAGUAUAUAAAACUCAAAUAGCUAACUGUAGUGGGAUAAAUCUGAACUUUUUGCAUUAUUAAAUCAAAGCAACAUUAAUAAAUUUCAAUUCCUAAAGAGACAAUAAAAAAAAAAAAAGGAUUGUGGAA
rnacentral:misc_RNA from 1 species